AUUGAACGCUGGCGGCAGGCCUAACACAUGCAAGUCGAGCGAGAGGCGGACGGGGGAGUAUUGUCUGGGAACCUGCCUGAUGGAGGGGGAUAACAACUGGAAACGGUAGCUAAUACCGCAUACCAUCAGAUGUGCCCAGAUGGGUUUAGCUAGUAGGUGGGGUAACGGCUCACCUAGGCGACGAUCCCUAGCUGGUCUGAGAGGAUGACCAGCCACAUUGGAACUGAGAAACGCUCCAGACUCCUACGGAAGGCAGCGGUGGGGAUUAUUGCACAAUGGGCGCAAGCCGGAUGCAGCAAUGCGGCUUGGAUGAAGAAGGCCUUCGGUUUGUAAAGUACUUUCAGCGGGGAGGCGUUACCCGCAGAAGAAGCACCGGCUAACUCCGUGCCAGCAGCCGCGGUAAUAC
rnacentral:rRNA from 1 species